GAAAUAUUUCUAAAUGGUUUAACCAUGUAAUGCUGAACGGGUUUUUUUUUCAGCAAAUUAUUUGAGUGAAUUCCAGCCAACUAAACUAGUUCUAAGUUAACCUUUAUUUUUACUGCAUUAAAUGAUUGUAUGGCAAGAUAGUCUUUUUUCAAAAAAAUAGGUAGGGAGUUGUAGAGUCAAAUACAGCAAAAAAAAACACACAC
rnacentral:lncRNA from 1 species